GCCGGACGCAGCCUCCUCUGCCGCUGGCCUUCCGUUCGCCCUGUGGCGGAGUUCGUGACGGGUGGAGGGGGUCAGAUUGUACCGAUCGUACGCCUUACAGACGCGAAGUGGGCGAGCGCGAGGAGCUGGAGCCUUCUCUUUGGCGGCCUCGUCUUCCGCAGGCUGACGGAGGGUCCUCCGGAGCGAGGUCUUUAGCGAGCGCGCCGCCGAGGGCGGGGAGGGUUAGGGCCCUGCCUGCUGGCAGCCCCAGCCUCUCAGGUGCGGUGAAGGUUUGCUGCUGCUCAUGGAUGUUCCAGUUCUUGAACAUCGUGAUAACGCUGGCAGCGUUUUGUAUUGUGGUAAAUUACAUGUUCUUCAAAUUGAAAUGGGUGAUGGAAACCUCAAGAAUGGAGUCUAAACCUUCAAGGAUUCCAAGGAGAGUUUCUGUUCAACCAUCCAGCUCUUUAAGUGCUAGGAUGAUGUCUGGAAGCAGAGGAAGUAGCUUAAAUGAUACCUAUCACUCAAGAGACUCUUCAUUUAGACUGGAUUCUGAAUAUCAGUCUCCAUCUGCAUCUGCAUCUCCAUUUCAGUCUACAUGGUAUAGUGAGUCUGAGAUAACUCAGGGAGCACGCUCAAGAUCACAAAACCAGCAACGGGAUCACGAUUCAAAAAGACCUAAACUUUCCUGUACAAACUGUACAUCUACCUCAGCAGGGAGAAAUGUUGGACAUGAAUUAAAUGCAGUAUCAGAUUCUUCUUGGAGGCAUAGUCAAGUUCCCAGAUCUUCAUCAAUGGUACUUGGAUCAUUUGGAUCUGACUUAAUGAGAGAGAGGAGAGAUUUAGAGAGGAGAGCAGAUUCCUCCAUUAGUAAUUUUAUGGAUUAUAGUCACCGAAGUGGUGAUUUUACAUCUCCAUCAUAUGUUCAAGACAGAGUUCCUUCUUCAUAUUCGCAGGGAGCAAGACCAAAAGAGAACUCAGUGAGCACUUUACAAUUAAAUACAUCAUCCACAAACCACCAAAUGCCUUCUGAACAUCAGACCAUACCAUGUUCUAGGGACUCGAGUAGAAACUCUUUAAGAUCAAAUUUUUCUCCAAGGGAAGUGGAAUCUCCCCAAAGCAGUGCAGAGCCUGGAUUUUCUUAUAUUUCAAAUAGAGAUGAAAGCUCCACCAUAAGCAGUUCAGAUAGAGUUGGUUCAUCUCAAAGAUCAUUUCAAGAACCUUCUGACAAUGAAGGUAGACGUACAACCAGGAGAUUGCUGUCACGUAUAGCGUCUAGUAUGUCAUCUACUUUUUUUUCACGAAGGUCUAGUCAGGAAUCCUUAAAUACAAGAUCAUUGAGUUCUGAAAGUUCUUACAUUUCUCCAAGAAUCUUGACAGCUUCACAGUCUCGUAGUAAUGCAGCAUCAACUUCUGACGUCCCCGAUAAUAGGGCAUCCGAAGCUCCUCAGGGAUUUCGAUUUCUUAGGCGAAGAUGGGGUUUGUCAUCUCUUAGCCAAAAUCAUAAUGCUGAGCCCGAUUCAGAAAAUUUUAACCAAGAAUCUGAAGGUAGAAAUACAGGACCAUGGUUAUCUUCCUCACUUAGAAAUAGAUGCACACCUUUGUUCUCUAGAAGGAGACGCGAGGGACGAGAUGAAUCUUCAAGGAUACCUGCCUCUGAUGUACCAUCUAGAUCUCAUCAUAUUUUUAGAAGAGAAUCAAAUGAAGUGGUUCACCUUGAAGCGCAGAGCGACCCCCUUGGAGCUGCUGCCAGCCGACCACAAGCACCUGCAGCAUCGAGCAGUGCUGCUACCGGUGGCUCCACAUCAGAUUCGGCGCACAGUGGACGAAACUCAGGAAUAGCAGGGAUCCUCCCUGGCUCCUUAUUCCGAUUUGCAGUACCCCCAGCACUGGGAAAUAAUUUGACUGACAAUGUCAUGAUCACUGUAGAUAUUAUCCCUUCAGGUUGGAGUUCAUCUGAUGGAAAAAGUGAUAAAACUAAAAAUGCACCUUCAAGAGACCCAGAAAGACUGCAGAAAAUAAAAGAGAGCCUCCUUUUAGAGGACUCUGAAGAAGAAGAAGGUGACUUAUGUAGAAUUUGUCAGAUGGCCGCUGCAUCAUCAUCUAACUUGCUGAUAGAGCCAUGUAAAUGCACAGGAAGUUUGCAGUAUGUCCACCAAGAGUGCAUGAAAAAGUGGUUACAGGCCAAAAUUAACUCUGGUUCUUCAUUAGAGGCUGUAACCACCUGUGAACUUUGUAAAGAGAAGUUGCAGCUUAACCUGGAGGAUUUUGAUAUUCAUGAACUACAUAGAGCUCAUGCAAAUGAACAAGUUAGUAUAUUUUGCCUAAUUUGGCUGAGUAUGAGUUUAUCAGCUCUGGUCUCUACCUAGUUGUGUUAUUGCACUUGUGCGAACAAAGCUUUUCUGAUAUGAUGGGAAAUACAAAUGAACCAAGCACACGUGUCCGAUUUAUUAACCUUGCAAGAACUCUUCAGGCACAUAUGGAAGAUCUCGAAACUUCAGAGGAUGAUUCUGAAGAAGAUGGAGAGCAUAACAGAACAUUUGAUAUUGCCUAACUGCACAUAAGACAAAUGGAUGAUCUGUGAACAAGUGUUUAUUAAAGCUGGCUAUUAAGUAUGAAUUAAUUUUGUGGGGAAUGCCUAUUGAAUACAUUAUCUAUAAAAUGAAUAUAUAUAUGUAUAUACAUGUAUGCAUGUAUAUAUAAUAUAUAUAUAUAUUCAUUCUCAAGUAUUGCUGAAUUCAAAUUCUACUUGCUGGACCUUUUAACAUGGCCAGCAACUGAUGUUUAUAAACUGGUAAUCAAAAGUAUUUUUCUUUUAGGUGAGUGGGAAAGUGUUAACCCUUGUUUUAAAUAUCUAAACAAUGCCGACAACCCUUUUUUUGUGUUCUGAUUACUGUAGUCAUAUUUAUGAAAAAGGUUCGUGUUUUAGUCUCCUGUUAGUGAAAAAAGACAAAAAUAUUCUUUCAAAAUAAAAUGCUAAAUGACACCUUUUUAUUUUUCUUUUUAAAAUGCCUUAAGUUGCAGUCUCAUUCUCAUAAUCAUUUGCUUCCGGUGUUUAAAAAAAUGGGGAGUAAGUUAUGAAGAGCAUAUUAAGUCUCCAAAUUUAAUUUGAAUUCUAAAUUCACUUAGCAAUAAAAUCUAACUUUUAAAAAAGUAUAUAAAUAUAAAAUGUAUAAAUGAUGGAUAAAUUUUUGUAUUGAUUUGAAAAAAGUGGAGAUUAUAUUUGAUAGGCCAUGGUAUGUACAUAUUCCUUUUAGGAAUAUUACAGCUAUAAAUUAUAUCAGAAUUGUCAAACGCUAUUUGGUAAAAAAAAAAAAAAAAAAAGACAAAGUUUCUGCAAUCUCAAGUUAAUGGAAUAUUUUUAAAUCCCACAUUCAAAAUUUAAAACACUGGUUUUCAGUAUGUUUUUUAAGUGUUGUCACUUUAUAAAUAUGCUAUAAAUAACCUGUUUGAAUCCGGGUCAUUUUUAACUGUACCUUGCUAAUUCUGAGCAUUUAUUUGGUGACUUACUAUUUUUCACUACCUUUGGAAAACAGGUGAACAGUACCUAUCCACUAUGAAUAGAUCUACACUGUGAUCAUGAGUUGUGUAUACUUCUAAAACAGUAUAUUUUCUCUUCAACAUCCUUAGAAUACACUUAAAAACACCUUCGGGUGGUCUCAAGUUAAAUAAAGUUUUAUGCCAUGGGCAACACAUUUCUUUUUCAGAACCUAAGUAUAAACCAUGUAAUUUCUCAAAUAUGACUCAACAGUUUGCCCUUAGUUUGUUGGUCUUAUUGUAAAACCUUGGCUCGAAAUAAAGUGUAUACUGAUUGAUUUA